UGGGUAGUCCGCACGAGCGCACCUUAUCUUUAGUUGCCAUCAGGUCAAGCUGGGCACUCUAAAGAAACUGCCGGUGAUAAGCCGGAGGAAGGCGGGGAUGACGUCAAGUCCUCAUGGCCCUUAUGACCUGGGCUACACACGUGCUACAAUGGCAGUGACAAUGAGCAGCGAUAGUGCGAACUUCAGCUAACCUCAAAAAUCUGUCUCAGUUCGGAUUGAACUCUGCAACUCGAGUUCAUGAAGUUGGAAUCGCUAGUAAUCGUAGAUCAGCAUGCUACGGUGAAUACGUUCCCGGGCCUUGUACACACCGCCCGUCACACCAUGGAAGUUGGUUUUACCCAAAGACGACGCGCUAACCGUAAGGAGGCAGUCGGCCACGGUAAGGUCAGCGACUGGGGUGAAGUCGUAACAAGGUAGCCGUACCGGAAGGUGUGGCUGGAUCACCUCCUUUCU
rnacentral:rRNA from 1 species